GCUCUCAGGAUGUGUGUGUAACAGGAGCACCCCAGGAUCCUGCACUGCUGUAAUCUUUCUCCUCCCAAUGGAUCUCACCUUUUAUUUGGUGUUGCACCUCCCUGACUGAUAUUUAACCUUGCUCCUGGUGCUCUUUGUUGGAGUUUUGCCAUGCAUACAAUACUGCUCUGAUGGGUGUCUACAGAUACCUGAGGGGCGAGCCCAGGUGUUUUGCUGGUCAAGAGGGAAAAUAUGUUUAUUUGCAGCAUGCCUUGCAGUCAUUUGCUUUGAAGGCCUGGGAAGAAGAGAUGUUGGCAAAGGGGAAACAUCCACAUCAUAGAUACUGUCAGGCUCUACAAGUCUAAGCACCCAGGACUUAAAAAAGACAUCUACAGACACUGACAUCAAACCACUCAUGGGUACUGUGCUAGCUUUGGGCUGGCACCGACUGCACCACCCAGUGAUCUCUGUCAUGUGGGUAGAAAUCGUCACCAAACUGUGUGCUCUUUGCUACUACAAGGUGUUAGCCUGGCAGGGGGUUGUAUGUGAGACUGUUUUGGGAUCCUGCCUGCUUCUGAUCACUUCAACUCCCACACUGCUGGUACAAGCACUGAAGAAAGGGGAUUAUUUGAAGCAAAUAGCCUAUAGAUGGACAAAUAUAAAUAAAUAAAUAGAUGGACAAAAUCUUCUUACUACAUUGUCACUGAUAGAAAACGGCAGCAAAUGCAGAUAUGGUCUUUGUCAACAAAAUUUUGGUGGACAACUGGUGAUGGACUUAACUGGAUGCUUGCAUCCUAAGCCAACUGCUGUAAAGAUAAAAGCAGCCCUUUCAAGUUGUUGCAUUGGGGUUCAAAAGCAAAACUGAGAAGGCUUCACUAGGGAACUUGAUCUCUUGUAGUGCUUAUUCUCACAAACCAAGAGCAGCAAUUAAUAUCUCUUUCAGAUGGUGAGAAUCUCUUUCAGAUGGUGAGAAUAAACAGUCUUGUAGACAUGCAGAGGAAAUGGAAAUGACACACAAAUUUUAAUUAACCUACUUCUCCUCGGCUCUGCUGCAUAGUGCCAAAAUAUAGUUCUAUGGAUCCUUUGGUUACAUACCCUGGCAUCUUCCUGAGCUGCUGGCUUUAGUUGAAAGCAAGUGGUUUCACAUGUGUACCUAAGAUCUAUGUGUUUCUUGUGGGCUGAUUACCAGAAAGGUGUCUGAGCCCUUAGUGCUUUCUCUCUGUCUGCGUAUACCCUGAUAUUUUGAAGAUAUCCCUAUUUUUAAACACAACCAUAAGAUCAAGAAAUCUCUAGAUGAUGUCAUUUACUGUGAUAAUGUUGACCAUUGCUCCAAUUACAGUCUCAAGCAGUUCUUAGUCUUCCCUGGAUGCUUCGUAUGUGUUGAUAUAAAACAGUAUGGCAGAAAAUAUGAUGUCAUCUGCAGCUGCCAUGUGGUAUUUCAAAGGAGAAGGCAGUAACCCUUUCUGGAAAAAUCUCUCCUAUGAAGGACAGAUGUCUUCUUGGUUGAACAGCUUACACAGCCUAAUUAUUCAUGUCUGUACCUGUUUGCCAACCCCACUUCUCACUGAGGUAAACUGGCACUGCUCCAUAGAAGUUGAAGAAGCAGUAAUUCUCACUGCUGGCAGCAGAUAAUUUUUACCCUUUUUAUUGAUCUGUGCUUUAUUUUAUCAACUUCAUGCCCUUUGACAUCUGGUCCCAUAAAAGUAUUGAGCCACAGCAGUAGGGUUUCUAUAAAUACAUUUCUUCCAUACGGAGAUUGACAGCAUUCAAGUUGCAAAGUGUUUCGGAGCCAUGUGGGAGGAGGGAGGAACAAGGUGAAGGGGGAGGCAAGGUGUCUUAUUUCCCCUCUCACCUCCUUCAUCUCAAGCCCUGAUGUCCUCCAGGAUGUGUUUUUAGUGUUAAUGGCAGAGGUGCUCCAAAGCAGCAGUAAAUGUGGGCCCCAGAUGUGCUAAUUCAGUCUGGGCCAGGCAGGGGAAAUGCAUGUAUUAUCUCACUCACCAGGAUGUAGCUCUGACAGCUCCGGUUUAGGCUAAAUCUCUGCUCCUGUCUUUCUGCCCUCACCCCCCUCCACUGGCCCUGGCUGGGCAUCCUCCCUCUGUCUCUUUGACAUGGGCACAGCUGGCCCCUUGCAGCCCUGAGCUAGGGGAGCAUCUGUGACUCAUCUGCCCCUGAGCACUCACUCCAAGCAGCCUUGAGCCAGGUCUGACCGCUCUUAGCUGCUGCCAGGGGAGCUGGAAUGUGAAGCAAGAGAGUGCACUGGUGUAGGCAGCCUUUAGCAGAGAUGAGUCCUGCAUUUAACCUGCUUGGAAGGUUGUGCAAUUCAAAGCAAAAAAUUGCUACCCCUUCCCCUGUAGACAGAUGGCCUCAUGGGUGACUAGAGGAACCAAAAAUGUCACUGUUUGAAAGGUGUAAGUAUAUAUAACAUGUAUCACUGUCAUAGGAGAUAAAGAGGUUGCCCUCUCUUUGUUCCACAAAGCACAGCCCUUGUGAUCUGCAGCAUGUGCUACUGUACUAUUGAUUUACUGCUUGAUUAUAAUGACAUUUCAUAACACAAGUGUUAUUAAAGACUUGUUAAUCUUCCUUAAGGAUCAUAUUCCUCAAAAUGUUUGAGCAAAAUGCUUUGCGUUUAUCUUUAAGUACCUAUUUAAAUAAACUCAAACGACUUGCUGUA